rnacentral:rRNA from 1 species
AUUGAACGCUGGCGGCAGGCCUAACACAUGCAAGUCGAGCGGAUGACGGGAGCUUGCUCCUUGAUUCAGCGGCGGACGGGUGAGUAAUGCCUAGGAAUCUGCCUGGUAGUGGGGGACAACGUUUCGAAAGGAACGCUAAUACCGCAUACGUCCUACGGGAGAAAGCAGGGGACCUUCGGGCCUUGCGCUAUCAGAUGAGCCUAGGUCGGAUUAGCUAGUAGGUGAGGUAAUGGCUCACCUAGGCGACGAUCCGUAACUGGUCUGAGAGGAUGAUCAGUCACACUGGAACUGAGACACGGUCCAGACUCCUACGGGAGGCAGCAGUGGGGAAUAUUGGACAAAGGGCGAAAGCCUGAUCCAGCCAUGCCGCGUGUGUGAAGAAGGUCUUCGGAUUGUAAAGCACUUUAAGUUGGGAGGAAGGGCAGUAAGCUAAUACCUUGCUGUUUUGACGUUACCGACAGAAUAAGCACCGGCUAACUCAGUGCCAGCCGCCGCCGUAAGAC